GUCGGCGCCGAGCGCGCAGCCUGCUCCACCGCCGCCUCUUGGUCCCGCCGCCGCCGCUGCCGCCGCCGCCGGGCAGUGGAGGUGACUUUCCUGCGCAGCGCCGCUUCUGAGGGCGGAGAACCCACAGGGAGUGCGACCCCUUUGCACGCUGUGAGUGGGCAACUGUCCGAGGGACUCGAGCCGAUCGAAGGCUGGACGCCCUAUAGGGCUCUUGGCAGUCCACGAAAGACCUGGAGUCCGCCUCCCCAUUUCUCCGGUCGGUGAGUGGCAGGAGGAAAUCGCCAAACAUGUUUUCCCGCUUUGCCUCCCCAACUCGGAAACUUGCAACUUGCCGUGUCCUGGAGGUUGAGACAAUUUGGGGUCUCUUGGCUGCCGUCCAACAGAUUUAUCUCUGAGGGCAGUGUCCUUGGUGAGAGGUCCAAGUAGGUGUGGGCGACAUUGUCCUCCAUCUCAUGAGGGAGCAGCCCUGCACACUAGGGCCCAAAACUCUGCGAAGGAGCUUGGAAGUUCUUCAUCCGUUCCACUUGUUUUGCUACUCCACACACCCUUCUAGGACAUGUUGAUUGCCAACUGCUCUGUGCAGCUUUCCCAUAGCUGUCUGUUCCCGUGCAUUUCGGAGCACCAAGCAAAUACGAGCAGAGAGACCUGGAAAAAAAAAUGAUGAAGACAGUAUUAAUGAUAAAAUUAACAUGGCUGAGUGAAUUGUCAAUGCAAGUUCCUUUACUAACUCUUUGUUAAGUUUUGCUUUGUACUCCUUACAUCCUCUUUCUCUUAAGCCAUUGUUUUAAUUUCUUCUCGUUAUCAUUUUUAAAAGUAACAGAAAUACAGCUUUCUUCCUACCUUCACGAUUGACUUGGUGGAGGUUGGGUUGCAAAGAGGAAGCAGUAAGAAAAAAUAAUUAUUCUAUACAUUCACAAGUCCUUCAAGGCACAAAAUAAAAGUAAGAAAUAGAAAAUAUGUCCUUUCUCCUAAUAAAGGUCUUUAUAAUAAAAUUUAAAUGAAGUUUUGUGUUUCAUAACAGCUUCCCAAAUACUGUUGUAGAUACUAAAAUGUGCCUGUAUGUAUUUCCUUCCACAAUAAUAAUAGUAAUAAUAAACUUUUUUAGGUCCAAAUUAAACAUUUCUCAGCUUAAAUUUCUAUCCUCAAUCCAACAUUUAUUAUAUCAAAACUUGAUUUUUAAAAAUAAAACUUUCUUGGAAUUCAUCAUUGAUGUCUGUUUGAUGGCCUCGUGAACAUCAGGAAGAUGAAAUGAAAUGGUUCAAGACUGGAACAAUACCAUUAUCUGCAUCUUGACUCCUGGGAGAUAAUGAUAUCUCCUGCUUUCCUCUACAGACCUACCAGUUUUCUCUGCUUUAAGGGAAAAUCCAAAUGCAUGAGACCUGUGCAUUCUUCUACAUAAUCAAGAGUCUGGUUUCUUCCAUCGGAGUGUAUGGAGUUAAAGUGGUAUACUGUACAUGGCAUGGUGUGAUAGGUGGGAAUAUGAGCUACUGGGGGAAAAAGUUCUUACUUCUAGCCACUUAUACAAAGAGAGGCCAUCUCAGUGUAAUCUGAAAAAAUGCUCACUUUAUAAUGCUGUAUCCAAGGCCCAUCAAAAACUAAAUGGAUGUAUUUGUACUAAAAGUUGGGGAAAGUUGAAUAUCUAAACCUCUGAGCAAAUCUUUCUUAAUUUAGAAAAUAAAAUAGAGCAUCAUUGUAAUACUUUUCAGUUUCCUGGACAUUCAACUCCACAUCAUGGAUAAAUAAAAUAGUUAUUUGUCCAUUCACUCAUUCAUUUGUACAUUAAUCAACAGAGAGAGUGGUGAAAAACACUAAUGCUUUGUAUUAUUUAUAGGUUUAAAAUACAAAACAAAUUACUUAAAAUGGUUCCUGCUCUAGAUGUAGUCUUUCAGAGUAGUAUUUUCCAAACUAGUCUGGUCAGUGAAGUCAUCUUAGCAGUUUAGAAAAAUACUCAUGCCAGAGCCCCACACGCACAGAUUCUGAUUCAGUUCUUUUCAGGUAGGGCCUGAGCACAGGAAUUUUUAAAAGCUCUCCAGUGGCUUUAAUUUUCAGAAAAGAUUGAGAACCACUGGCCUAAAAGGAAAGAUAAGGUAGUCUAGAAGGAAAGAGUCCUUAACAAAGGAAAUGUUAAAAGUAUGAAAUUUUAGUAGAUAGGCUGGAUUGUCAUUUUGUGUUGAUCCCCAUAAGAGGACAUUGAGGAUCACCACUCCCAAAACCUCAUCACCUACGCUGCCUUUUAGAGAUGGAGUUGGCAAUUUGCCCAUUUACUGUCAGUAAACUUGCAUGACUUGUAAAGGUCCAGGUUACAGUUUAUUCACCUGACCUAGGAACUUUAUGUACUCUAGUUACCAGAAAAUGAGUGCCUGUAAACAAAACGUGUCUUUACCAGUGCUGAUGUAAUGCUAUCAGUACCUACUUGUGAAAUGCCUACUAUAUCGUGGACCUGGUCCUAAUUUCUUUACAUUGAAUUUCGCAGUCUUAUUUAAUUUUCCAGAUUACUUUGGAAAGCCUCAUCAGUAAUUACAAACCACACGGAGCAUUUGAUUUUGUUCCCUCAACAUUGCCCAUCUUCACUUUAAUUAUAGUUUCACAAAUUGUUACGUUUUCAAAUUUAUACUUGUUUUCAGUGACCACAUUUUAUGUCUACUGAUUCUUUGUAUUAUGUAGGUUAAGUCCUAAAUCUUGUAGUAAUGUCUCCAAAUCACAUACAGAAUGUGUUACUUUGGGGAAAAUAGCUUUUAGACAGUUAAUCCUAUCUGUGAUUUACAAGAGUCUUAUAAAAAUUAUUCAACAAACCAUGGUACUUCCUGGCAGGCAUUCUUUGCUAGAUUUUGGAGUUAGUUUUUCUUCAAGGGUUGAAGCCCUCUAUAGAUGCACAUGAGAAUGAAAUGUCAUAUAGAGGGGUUGAUUUUGAAAUGCCAGAUAUUAAAACUAAAAUCAAAGCCUGCCGUAUUGUAUAACUAAAUUAAUAUUUAGCCCUUCACUGGCCUUUCUGAUUUAUGGGCUAGUUUUCCAGUGACAGCUGAUGUCGCAAUAUUUCUAGGGAAAAGAAAGCCUCAUUCUUUUAAAAUACCAUUCAUUUUAUACCUCAUAUGGCCCACCUAGGAUUUUAAGCCCUCAUUGGACAUGUGUAUACCCAAUGAGGUUACAUGGUGAAGUAGCUAUUUGUUUCCUUAGAAUCUAGCCAAUCCUGAGUGCUAUACAUUUUAAAUUCAAAAGGACAUCAUUAAUGGUUUUCAUGGGAAAUGUUUACAUGUUCUCAAUUUACCAGUUAGCAUUUACUGUUGUCCAGGGUUAUUUAACAUUUUUCUAAAGUAAUUUAAAUGUAAAAUGGAAU
rnacentral:lncRNA from 1 species